GGCACAGCUCCAGGGGUCACAUUCACAGGAAAAUGGACAAGGAGUAUCAAUUCCCACAGAUUCUCAAAGAUUGUGUCCCCUAAAGCUGUGCGCUACUCUGGCCAUAGCACUUGAUGGGUUGCAACCAAACCCCUGUGUGUUUAUGUCCCAUCUUUUCAGACCCUGAGCUUACUAAACUCCCCAAUGUUUAGUACAGUGCCUGGCACAUCAUCAUGUCUCCAAGGUAUUUGCAGACUGAGUGAAUAAAAGUAUCUGCAAGAGCUGGCAGGUCUCAGAAGGCGGUGGGUAAGGGACCCGGGCCAGCAGUGUGUACGCAUAGAAAUGUCAGGAUGAGCAUUGGCUUUGGGGGCUGGAAGGUCGGCUCUGGACGUGGAGGAGAGGCACCAGCAGGCUGGAGCCCUCUGUCCUCAACGGCUUCCCCCAGAGAUAGUAGCCUCGGAAGCCUUUCUCCUGUUCCCUCUCCCUCUGACUUAUCUAAGGAGUCACUGUCCUUCCCCAAGAACUACCUCCCACACAGCUCCAGGGGCCUGUCUGCACAAGGGCAUGGGUUUGUGUUAAAAGAGGCCAAUUAUUUCCCAUUAGCUUACUCUGAGAACACAGGGUCAGCAGACCAACAUUUGACUUGUGUGUGGUUCAGAAGAAACAGGCCCAAC
rnacentral:lncRNA from 1 species